rnacentral:rRNA from 1 species
GCAGAAUCCCGUGAACCAUCGAGUUUUUGAACGCAAGUUGCGCCCGAAGCCACUAGGCUGAGGGCACGUCUGUCUGGGCGUCACGCAUCCAGUCGCCACCCCCCUCUCGACGUUAACGUUACGGAGGGGAGUGACGGAUGUUGGCCUCCCGUGUCUUCGAGGCGCG